rnacentral:rRNA from 1 species
GUAGCUGAAGGUACAGUAUGAAUAAGCACCGGCUAACUCCGUGCCAGCAGCCGCGGUAAUACGGAGGGUGCAAGCGUUAUCCGGAUUUAUUGGGUUUAAAGGGUCCGUAGGCGGAUCUGUAAGUCAGUGGUGAAAUCUCACAGCUUAACUGUGAAACUGCCAUUGAUACUGCAGGUCUUGAGUAAAGUAGAAGUGGCUGGAAUAAGUAGUGUAGCGGUGAAAUGCAUAGAUAUUACUUAGAACACCAAUUGCGAAGGCAGGUCACUAUGUUUUAACUGACGCUGAUGGACGAAAGCGUGGGGAGCGAACAGGAUUAGAUACCCUGGUAGUCCACNUAGCCACCUGGGGAGUACGUUCGCAAGAAUGAAACUCAAAGGAAUUGACGGGGGCCCGCACAAGCGGUGGAUUAUGUGGUUUAAUUCGAUGAUACGCGAGGAACCUUACCAAGGCUUAAAUGGGAAUUGACAGGUUUGGAAACAGACUUUUCUUCGGACAAUUUUCAAGGUGCUGCAUGGUUGUCGUCAGCUCGUGCCGUGAGGUGUUAGGUUAAGUCCUGCAACGAGCGCAACCCCUGUCACUAGUUGCCAUCAUUCAGUUGGGGACUCUAGUGAGACUGCCUACGCAAGUAGAGAGGAAGGUGGGGAUGACGUCAAAUCAUCACGGCCCUUACGCCUUGGGCCACACACGUAAUACAAUGGCCGGUACAGAGGGCAGCUACUAUGCGAAUAGAUGCGAAUCUCGAAAGCCGGUCUCAGUUCGGAUUGGAGUCUGCAACUCGACUCUAUGAAGCUGGAAUCGCUAGUAAUCGCGCAUCAGCCAUGGCGCGGUGAAUACGUUCCCGGGCCUUGUACACACCGCCCGUCAAGCCAUGGAAGUCUGGGGUACCUGAAGUCGGUGACCGUAACAGGAGCUGCCUAGGGUAAAACAGGUAACUAGGGCUAAGUCGUAACAAGGUAGCCGUACCGGAAGGUGCGGCUGGAACAUCUCAUUUUAGA